UACGUAGGGGGGCGAGCGUUGUCCGGAUUUAUUGGGCGUAAAGAGCUCGUAGGCGGCUUGGCAAGUCGGGUGUGAAAACUCCAGGCUCAACCUGGAGAUGCCACUCGAGACUGCUAUGGCUAGAGUCCGGUAGGGGACCACGGAAUUCCUGGUGUAGCGGUGAAAUGCGCAGAUAUCAGGAGGAACACCGAUGGCGAAGGCAGGUCUCUGGGCCACUACUGACGCUGAGAAGCGAAAGCAUGGGAGCGAACAGG
rnacentral:rRNA from 1 species